AUUUGAGAGAGGAGACUACUCAAAGGACUGAAAUAGAGAAGGAUUUACUACACAAUUGAGGUGAUAUCUAAGGAUUUUAGAGACAGUGUUAGGGAGAAGUUCUUUGCGUUGAGCUAGCUAAGAUUUUGAUCAAGAAGAGUAGCAUAUGUUUGGGCUUCCACUGGGAUGUGCGCAUGAGUGAAGUUUAAGAAAUUAAUGGAAUAAGAUUUGAACUUCUAUGUU